rnacentral:rRNA from 1 species
AUGUCAGCAUUCAAAGUUUCAUUUUUGACGACAGCUUUCUGUGCUUUGGCUUUGGAAAGUUCGUCAACAUUGCCGCCGGCUUGUUUCACGCAGGCAGCAACAGCUGCGAGGAUUGCGUGACUUGUGAUGGAGGCGCCGCUCACACCGUUCAGAGCCAGACUUUGGCUAUCAACGAUUGCUUUAGGAAGUUUUUCGAUGGCAAUAGAACCGAUUCCCGGUGUUUCUUUGUUUGCACCGAUCUUGACGGAUUCGAUCGCAUUCUUGGUAAAGGUCACCGUGACCGGAACUUCACCGCCGUUGCCUUUCGAAACGGCUGUGUAAGUUCCCGGAUUGAACGUUGCUGCCUGGGCUGCCCCAGAGAGUGCAACAACGCUCAAUGCGGAGAGAAAUACUAAUUUAUUCAGCAUGUUUGUUCCUUGAGAGGAGGUUCUCUUAAGAAUUAUUGAGCCGGGUACAUGGCCUUGUGAAUGGAAUUCAGGAUCUGUUCGGCUUCUUCACUAGGGAUCUGGCCCGGAGCGGAAGGUUUGCCGCCAACCAUGCAGAAAGUGAUGUCGGAACCUGUGAAUUCACCGGUCAUGCGGCUUAAGACGCCAUCUUUACCCAUAGCCAUUGUGAGCAUCGGUUUGCGGGAGAAGUAAUUGCGUGUCUUCCAAGUUGCGUUCAUCAGGUUGAGUGCGUCACCGGUGUUGUGGGCCAUUACAGCAAUCUUCAGAAUGUCGGAGCCUAAUUGUUCCUGAAGGAGAAGACGACGAAUGAUUUCAGCUUCAGAGGGAGUCCAUCCGAAUUCGUGGUCGCUCAUCACAACUUUGACGCCUUUUUCUUUGGCUUUUUUCACGAUCUGCUUGCAGAUAUCGGCGUUGCGGAACAUUUCGAUGUCGAUAAGGUCAAUCUUGCCAUUGUCGAGAACGUCAAAAUAGAAGUCUCUGUAGUAUUCGUCGGAAACGUGUCUGCCGCCGCCUUCGGUCUUGUCUCGGAAGGUCAUGAGAAUCGGUUUGUUCUUGACGAUUUCAUAGACCUGCUUAGUGAGCUUGGCAAAUUCUUUACCGGAAAUUUCACCGAUGUAGUCAGGGCGGAGCUCGAUCAUCUGAAGUUCAGGACGACUGUUGUAGUCCUUAACCAACGCGAUGAAAGCUUCGGGCGUCUUAGCAGUCGUGGAAGCAAUGAUCUUAGGACGGCCUUCACCGAUUCUGACGCCCUUGAUUUCCAAGACUUCGACGGGUUCUUUGUCCCAGCCGGGUUCGUGGUUCAGGGUGUCGACCGGCAUCAUCUUUUCAUUGCCUUUCAAUUUUGUGCUGGCAAAGGCAGAGGCAGAGAAGGCAGCAGCCAAACCGCCGAUGCCGGAUUGAAUCAUGGUUCUUCUUUUCAUAUUUCCUCCGAAACAGAUUGAAUUGAGAUUCGAUCAAUAAAGUCAUUGUUGACUUUUUCAAGAGGAUCAAAAACAGAUCAAAGGCGGUUAAAUACAUCCCGUGGGAUGUAUUCGAAGAGAGUUUAUGCGGGAUCAGGCUAUGGGUGUUUUCCCGAAAAACUUUAUUUUUUGAUUCACCAGGAGUUGAAAUCGCGCACAGUGUUCCAAGCAAUACGCUGUAAUUUUUUACCGGUUUCCGGAACCACAAUCAAAUCGUCAAAACGUCCGUAGAAAUCGCAAUCCGUCGGUGUGAUUCCUGUCAAGGAAGCAAAGAACACCGCUGCCUCUAAAUAAGUUCCGGCUACCGUCGGAUGUCUGUUAUCAGAUCGAAUGAGCUCAAUCUCGGGAAAAUCUUUCGAAGAUCGUUCAAAUGCCAUGCCACAGGGUAUGACGGAAGCAGAAUUUUCGUUAGCCACUUCAAUCGUUGCAUCGGCUAAAAGACUGGUCAUCUCAGGUUUGUCUUUGUAGGCCCAGGUCAUCAUAAAAAACGGUCUGGCGCCGGCUUCACGAAUAUCCUGACAAUGUUUCCUAGCCGACUCCCGAAAAAGAAGUUCCGACCUGCACGAAUGGUGUAAUGAUCUGGACACUGUCUCAACGGUGAGCUCGGUGAAAUUGUAGUAUCGGUGAAGAUGCCGAUUACCCGCAACGGGACGAAAAGACCCCGUGAACCUUUACUGCAGCUUAGCAUUGGGACCGGGUGCGUGAUGUGUAGGAUAGUCCGGAGACAGCGAGGCGGGGGCGCCAGCCCUCGCGGAGUCGACGUUGAAAUACGGACCUUUGCGCAUCUGGUCUCUAACUCGCGGAAAGCGAGGACACUGCUUGGUGGGUAGUUUGACUGGGGUGGUCGCCUCCAAAAGAGUAACGGAGGCUUCUAAAGGUGCCCUCAGACCGAUUGGUAACCGGUCGCAGAGUGUAAUGGCAUAAGGGCGCUUGACUGAGAGGACGACAAUCCGAACAGGUAGGAAACUAGAGCAUAGUGAUCCGGCGGUACCGCAUGGAAGGGCCGUCGCUCAAAGGAUAAAAGGUACUCCGGGGAUAACAGGCUGAUCCCUCCCAAGAGCUCAUAUCGACGGAGUGGUUUGGCACCUCGAUGUCGGCUCGUCACAUCCCGGGGCUGGAGAAGGUCCCAAGGGUUAGGCUGUUCGCCUAUUAAAGUGGCACGCGAGCUGGGUUCAGAACGUCGUGAGACAGUUCGGUCUCUAUCUGUUGUGGGCGCGGGAGAUUUGCGGGGAUCCGACACUAGUACGAGAGGACCGUGUUGGACCGACCUCCGGUGAGCCGGUUGUACCGCCAGGUGCACGGCCGGGUAGCCGCGUCGGGGACGGAUAAGUGCUGAAAGCAUCUAAGCACGAAGCCAACCUCAAGAUAAGAUCUCCAUACAGGGCCGUCGAAGACGACGACGUCGAUAGGCUGCAGGUGUAAAGUCAGUGAUGGCAAAGCCGAGCAGUACUAAUUGCCCGAAAGCUUUCAGA